rnacentral:rRNA from 1 species
GUCACGGGUAGAUCUCCACCCUUGAAUAUUAUACCUUCGUUGCUUUGGCAGGCCGUGGAACACCAGAGGCUCCGGCUGAUGCGUGCCUGCCAGAGGAAACAAACUCUGUUUUUAGUGAUGUCUGAGUACUAUAUAAUAGUUAAAACUUUCAACAACGGAUCUCUUGGUUCUGGCAUCGAUGAAGAACGCAGCGAAAUGCGAUAAGUAAUGUGAAUUGCAGAAUUCAGUGAAUCAUCGAAUCUUUGAACGCACAUUGCGCCCCGUGGUAUUCCGCGGGGCAUGCCUGUUCGAGCGUCAUUUCAACCCAUCAAGCUUCGGCUUGGUCUUGGGGCCUGCGGUUUCGCAGCCUCUAAACCCAGUGGCGGUGCUAUUGAGCUCUGAGCGUAGUAAUUUCUCUCGCUAUAGAGUCUCGGUGGUGACUUGCCAACAACCCCCAAUUUUUAUCAGGUUGACCUCGGAUCAGGUAGGGAUACCCGCUGAACUUAA